rnacentral:snRNA from 1 species
AUACUUUCUUGGCAGGGGAGAUACAAUGAUCACAAAGGUCAUUUUCCCAGGGCAAGGAUUAUAUCUAUUAUACUCAAUGUGUUGACCCUGAAAUUUUCCCAAAUAUAGAGAACACAACUUCAUGAUUUGUGAUGAUGAGGACAGAAUUUGUUCUUCAUUUUG